rnacentral:pre_miRNA from 1 species
CUACUACUCUCUUCGUUCGGAAUUACUUGUCUUGGAAAUGGAUAUAUCUAGAACUAAAAUACAUCUAGAUACAUCCAUUUCUACUACAAGUAAUUCCGAACGGAGGGAGUAGUAG